rnacentral:rRNA from 1 species
UACGUAGGGUGCAAGCGUUGUCCGGAAUUAUUGGGCGUAAAGAGCUCGUAGGCGGUCUGUCGCGUCGGCUGUGAAAACUCGGGGCUCAACUCCGAGCUUGCAGUCGAUACGGGCAGGCUAGAGUUCGGCAGGGGAGACUGGAAUUCCUGGUGUAGCGGUGAAAUGCGCAGAUAUCAGGAGGAACACCGGUGGCGAAGGCGGGUCUCUGGGCCGAUACUGACGCUCAUGCACGAAAGCGUGGGGAGCAAACAGG